GACUCGUGGACCCAGAACCGACUGCGCGGUCUGCUCUUCCCACGUCAGGGUGUUUCGAGACCCUCGCUCACCCGCUCCACGCUCGUGCCUCCCACCCCGAGAUCCGAGGGGAUCCGUGGCCUCCCCCUGGCUCUGGGGCUUCGGGCCAAGGCAAAGGAAGGAAGCGGAGCCCAGCUCUGUCCAAGAUGCUGACCUCAUCUUCCCCAGCAAAGCCAGGAAAAAAACAGCCACACGCGCAGCCAGACACACGGACACACACGAGGACACCCACGCGAGAGCCCAUGCGUACCUUUGCCCUCGGCCAUGGGCAGCCGGCUGGGCACCCGGGGUCACGCCACGAGCCUGCCCUGGCCUGGGGGCAUCGCUCGCUGGAGACUGGGGGAUGUGACCUGCAGCGCAGACACCUGUGCCCAGCGUGCAGCGGGGCAGGGCCCGACGGUCCUCUCCCCGGGCAUCCGCGGCUCCCGCACGCCGCACCCAGGGGCGUAAGAGCAUAUCCUCAGCGUGAAACCGGGGCGGGGGGGUGGCGGUGGGCGAGGCCCCCUUCGCGGGGGUGCUUUUUCUCUGUACAAAAGCCUGCGUUUCUGCCUCUUGUUGGGCAGCACACUGGAAGAACGAAGCCAGAGAAACAUGUAACGGGUGUGGGGUGUGUCCACCCCGUUCUCUGGUUGCCAGUCUUCUUGCCUCCACCUGCGGCCAAGGCGCCCUCCUCCUCGCGGCCGCUUCUGAGACCGACGGUCGUGGCUCGGUGAGCCCCGCUGCUGCAGGGCACGAGCACCCCUGAGAGCGCGGGCUGCCGAGGGGCGCCCCCUCCGCGCCGCCCGGCACGCGUGCCCCGCGCACGGAGCAGGUGCAGGGCCCGCGGCUGCCCGCGACCAGGUGAGCGCCCCGGAGGGCGGGCAGGGAGCGCUGGCGGGAGCAGCCCCGCCGCCCCCCACGCC
rnacentral:lncRNA from 1 species